rnacentral:rRNA from 1 species
AGCGAACGCUGGCGGCAGGCCUAACACAUGCAAGUCGAACGAAGUCUUCGGACUUAGUGGCGGACGGGUGAGUAACACGUGGGAACGUACCUUUUGGUUCGGAAUAACGCAGGGAAACUUGCGCUAAUACCGAAUGUGCCCUUAGGGGGAAAGAUUUAUCGCCAUUAGAGCGGCCCGCGUUGGAUUAGGUAGUUGGUGUGGUAAAGGCGCACCAAGCCUACGAUCCAUAGCUGGUCUGAGAGGAUGAUCAGCCACACUGGGACUGAGACACGGCCCAGACUCCUACGGGAGGCAGCAGUGGGGAAUCUUGCGCAAUGGUCGAAAGACUGACGCAGCCAUGCCGCGUGAAUGAUGAAGGUCUUAGGAUUGUAAAAUUCUUUUAGCAGGGACGAUAAUGACGGUACCUGCAGAAAAAGCCCCGGCUAACUUCGUGCCAGCAGCCGCCGUAACAC